UCAGAUCUUCUUUUGUUUGUGAUACUUAGCUUUGAUUGAGAGAUGAUGAUAGAAAAAUAAAAGAUUUCAUUUGUGACUUUUGGGAAACUCCACCACCCACCGACAGCAAAAUCCCUCCUCACAACGGUGGUCUGAUAAUGACCAGAUAAGAUGGGAUGAGCCGGAAGUAAUGACCGGAAAUAUGUUUGUUUGUUUGUUUUGUUUUGUGUGUUUAAGCGUAUGAACUUGGGAAUGCUUAUUGUGAUGUGGGAAUUCGUAGAAUUUGAGUAUGAAUUACUUGAUUAAAGUCGAAGAAUUUGGGGAAAGCAAAGUUGAUUUGAGUUUAGGAAAGAUUGAGUUUACUCCAUGGAGUUUCGUGAAUGGAUUUGCGGAUUUAGGUGAAAAAGGUGUUGAUUAAAGUAGUCAUAACUCAUAGGCAAAGUUUGGUGUUGCUAGGUGACAAGUUUCUCAAAAGCGUCAGUGGAUGUAUGGAGAGAAAAAAUUAUACUCGUAUAAAAAAAUUUGAAAAUAAAAAUAAAUAAGAGAAACUUAAAAAAUUUAAAUUAAGUGUAGUUUAAGAGGACUUUUGAUUAAGUAAAUUGUAAUAAGUUUUUAGGAAUUUUGUUCUUCUUUUUAAAUAAGUUUUAGUUAUAAAUAGGCCUCAGUUUUUUGUUUCGCUUUAGAUCUCAGCAUGGCUUGAGCCGUUACUGUACAGUACCACUUUAAGCACUCUAUCCUCUCCACUUUUUCAUAUUUCUCACACCAAACUCAAACAUUGCUUUCGUUAUCAUUUCUUGUAUUUAAGCUUUUGUUUUGAUUGAUAAUAUUUUGGAUUCUUCGAUUCCUCAUGUUAAAGAAUGCAACUACGAUUCAAGAUCGAUGUAAUUUAUUCUUUUGGUCUUCCCUUGGUGGCUUGAUGCAGUCCAACGGUCCAACCAACUUAAAACUGGUGUCCAAUUUGAUCAGCCCAAUUAGAAUUGGACUCUUUGGUGUUCCCCCGUGGUGUCAAGCGAAGGGAUUUGAAAUACAAACCGUCUCUGUAAUUGUCUUCAGAAAUUGACUGUGUUUAUAUAUAUUUCACAGAGUUCGAAUCAGCUUUGAGUUUGGUGGUGGUAAAUUGAAAGGGAAGAUGAUUAGAGCUACUUCCCUGCAGUCCUUUAAGCUUAGAACACAGGAAAUAAAGCGAGGCGAUUGGUGUGAAUUCUAUGGGAAUCGAAGUAACCGACCAAAUCGAUUGUCAUAUUUUAUUUGGAGUGUCAAUUCCACUUAUCUACUUAUAAAUGGGUCACUUUGGGCUGUGGUUUACCUUUAACGGGUCAAAUGGGUCCAAAAAGAUGUAGCUGAAAAAUAUCAGGACAACAAAUUGGAAUAACCAGUAUUCGGUAUCUUCUAAUGUUCAUACCACUUAUUCGUUCUUAGUUUUGGAAUAACCUUUCUUCUUUGUAACCUACUUCAAUGGAGAACAUUUGGAACCAUUAUUCGAAAGCAUCAUGGAGCCAUACCAUAGAUAUCAAUUUUUGGGCCGCCUUUAGGUGAUCUCUAUAGUUCAAGUUUUUUUUCAAUUCCGGAUUGUGGCUGCUGAAGAAGCUUAAGUACAUGUUGCAUUCAUUACUUGACUUAAGAAUACACGUUGCAUUCAUCAAUUGACUUUCCAAGGUCUGCUGACAAUUCGAGAUUGGAUACUCUGGUGGAUGAGGACGCAAAAGAAAAUCUGGGGCCCAUGAAGAUAAGUCGCAGGAAAUGGCGCAUUGCGGAUUUUGAGUCGGAUGAAGAGGCUCGCGUCAGCGUGGUAGCCAAGAACAGUCCACGCCAGCAUGGAUAAAGCCUUCAGACAUGUCAGAUGCCGUAUGUUUUAAUUUUUAUAUUUCAUAGGUAACAAGUUGAGAUCAGGUUGGGUAACGGGUUGAAUUGGCCGUGUUUUAAUAUGGAUCAUAACGGGCUUGGGCAGGUUUUGUAACAAGCAUUGGUUGUCCAAUUUUCAAUAUAUGAAUAGUUCAUUAUUUAUGAUCUGAAAACAAUUUUAUUGCAACAAUUAUCUAUAUCUUGGAAAACGAUA